GACGAACGCUGGCGGCGUGCUUAACACAUGCAAGUCGAACGGAAAGGCCCUGCUUUUGUGGGGUGCUCGAGUGGCGAACGGGUGAGUAACACGUGAGUAACCUGCCCUUGACUUUGGGAUAACUUCAGGAAACUGGGGCUAAUACCGGAUAGGAGCUCCUGCUGCAUGGUGGGGGUUGGAAAGUUUCGGCGGUUGGGGAUGGACUCGCGGCUUAUCAGCUUGUUGGUGGGGUAGUGGCUUACCAAGGCUUUGACGGGUAGCCGGCCUGAGAGGGUGACCGGCCACAUUGGGACUGAGAUACGGCCCAGACUACUACGGGAGGCAGCAGUGGAGAAUAUUGCACAAUGGGCGGAAGCCUGAUGCAGCAACGCCGCGUGCGGGAUGACGGCCUUCGGGUUGUAAACCGCUUUCGCCUGUGACGAAGCGUGAGUGACGGUAAUGGGUAAAGAAGCACCGGCUAACUACGUG
rnacentral:rRNA from 1 species